GGUUUGUGGCUCAGUAGUAGAGCACUUGCCUAGCAUGUACAAGGCCCUGGGUUCGAUCCUUAGCACCA
rnacentral:tRNA from 1 species